rnacentral:rRNA from 2 species
UGGGGAAUAUUGCGCAAUGGGGGAAACCCUGACGCAGCAAUGCCGCGUGAAGGAAGAAGGUCUUCGGAUCGUAAACUUUUGUCUUCAGGGACGAUAAUGACGGUACCUGAGGAGGAAGCCACGGCUAACUACGUGCCAGCAGCCGCGGUAAUACGUAGGUGGCAAGCGUUGUCCGGAUUUACUGGGUGUAAAGGGCGUGUAGGCGGGAUUGUAGGUCAGAUGUGAAAUACCCGGGCUCAACCCGGGGGCUGCAUUUGAAACCACAGUUCUUGAGUGCUGGAGAGGGAAGCGGAAUUCCUAGUGUAGCGGUGAAAUGCGUAGAUAUUAGGAGGAACACCAGUGGCGAAGGCGGCUUUCUGGACAGUAACUGACGCUGAGGCGCGAAAGCGUGGGGAGCAAACAGG